GAUGAACGCUGGCGGCGUGCCUAAUACAUGCAUGUCGAGCGAACGGACGAGAAGCUUGCUUCUCUGAUGUUAGCGGCGGACGGGUGAGUAACACGUGGAUAACCUACCUAUAAGACUGGGAUAACUUCGGGAAACCGGAGCUAAUACCGGAUAAUAUUUUGAACCGCAUGGUUCAAAAGUGAAAGACGGUCUUGCUGUCACUUAUAGAUGGAUCCGCGCUGCAUUAGCUAGUUGGUAAGGUAACGGCUUACCAAGGCAACGAUGCAUAGCCGACCUGAGAGGGUGAUCGGCCACACUGGAACUGAGACACGGUCCGGACUCCAACGGGAGGCAGCAGCAGGGAUUCUUCAGAAAUGGGCAAAGGCCAGACGGAGCAACGCGGGGGGAGGAAAGAAGUUCUUCGGAUCGAAAAACUCUUUUAUGGGGAAAAAAAAUAUGUGUAAUUAACUGUCCACACUUUGAGGAUCCCUAAUAGAAAGCCCACGGCAAACCCCGUC
rnacentral:rRNA from 1 species